rnacentral:lncRNA from 1 species
AGUCAAAUAUAUUACAUAGUCUUUGAGUCACAAGCAAAGGAAGAGCUAAUGUACGGUGAAAUUGAUUGUCACUCAUAUGACCAAAAAGGACCUAGGAUCCAAGCGCUGCUGGUAUAGAUGGAAAAAACUAGGUCAGAAUCCCUAAAUCAAGAGAGAAAUACAGGGAAAUUCCACUGCAAUUCCAAUGUCAAAAGGGCACAUUCCAGGAUAUCCAAGUCAUACCGAUACCAUGCAACAGCAUCAACUUGCUAAUAAAUGUAGCCGAAAACUAGUUCCUAGUAUAUCUCAAUUACCACUUCUACCUGAA